rnacentral:rRNA from 1 species
UACGUAUGCAGCGAGCGUUGUUCGGAGUUACUGGGCGUAAGAGUGCGUAGGCGGUUUUCUAAGUUUGGUGUGAAAUCUCCCGGCUUAACUGGGAGGGUGCGCCGAAGACUGGAAGGCUUGAGUAUGGGAGAGGUAAGCGGAAUUCCUGGUGUAGCGGUGAAUGCGUAGAUAUCAGGAGGAACACCUGCGGUGUAGACGGCUUACUGGACCAUCACUGACGCUGAGGCACGAAAGCGUGGGUAGCAAACAGG